UACGUAGGGUGCGAGCGUUGUCCGGAUUUAUUGGGCGUAAAGAGCUCGUAGGCGGCUUGGCAAGUCGGGUGUGAAACCUCCAGGCUCAACCUGGAGACGCCACUCGAUACUGCCAUGGCUAGAGUCCGGUAGGGGACCACGGAAUUCCUGGUGUAGCGGUGAAAUGCGCAGAUAUCAGGAGGAACACCGGUGGCGAAGGCGGGUCUCGUGGGCAGUGAACUGACGCUGGAGGAGCGAAAGCGUGGGGAGCGAA
rnacentral:rRNA from 1 species